UCCGUAGGUGAACCUGCGGAGGGAUCAUUACAAGUGACCCCGGUCUAACCACCGGGAUGUUCAUAACCCUUUGUUGUCCGACUCUGUUGCCUCCGGGGCGACCCUGCCUUCGGGCGGGGGCUCCGGGUGGACACUUCAAACUCUUGCGUAACUUUGCAGUCUGAGUAAACUUAAUUAAUAAAUUAAAACUUUUAACAACGGAUCUCUUGGUUCUGGCAUCGAUGAAGAACGCAGCGAAAUGCGAUAAGUAAUGUGAAUUGCAGAAUUCAGUGAAUCAUCGAAUCUUUGAACGCACAUUGCGCCCACUGGUAUUCCGGUGGGCAUGCCUGUUCGAGCGUCAUUAUCCUCCCUCAAACCUCGGGUUUGGUGUUGGGCCGCGUUACCACGUCCUCCGCGUCCGCCCUUCGGGGGGGGAGCCGCGGGGUGACCAACUGGCCUCAAAGACGAUGACGGCGUCCGUGGGACCCUCGGUGCAACGAGCUUCUUUGGAGCACGCGUCGAGUUUCAAGGUCCCUCCGGGCCGGUCUAACCCUUUUAUUAUCACAAGGUUGACCUCGGAUCAGGUAGGAAUACCCGCUGAACUUAAGCAUAUCAAUAAGCGGAGGA
rnacentral:rRNA from 1 species